UCAGCGGGCCGUGACUGGCGCGCUGGGAUGGGACGGACCAUCGGGGAGCGGCUCCAGCGGGAAAGUGCCGUGCGCCUGGGCCGAACGU
rnacentral:ncRNA from 2 species